CAAUCAAAAUAUCCAUUCAAUGCAGCCAUGUGAAGAGCAGUGAUACCACCAUCAGCUGCCUUAUUGACAAACUUGGACAACGCACUCUGGUCAAAUUUGUUCUUCAUGCUGGAAGCAUCCCCAGUGUCAGCUUCUGUCUGAGAAUGCAUAGCUUCAAAAGGAGCGCUAGGAACAAAGUCAGCAACAACUAGUCUNNNNUAUACAUCUUGCAUGGCCAUUUACAGCUGCAAAAUGCAGAGCAGUCCUUCCGCUGAGGUAAUCCGCUCGUGUAACAUUGCAUCUAAAGAGAAGAAGAGUCUGUACAACUUCCCAGUGUCCAUACCGACAAGCUUGCAUUAAUGCCGUCUGGCCGCAGUAAUUCCUUGAAUUCACGUCAGCUCCAUUCUCAAGCAACAA
rnacentral:misc_RNA from 1 species